UGCGGAAGGAUCAUUACCGAGUGCGGGUCCUUUGGGCCCAACCUCCCAUCCGUGUCUAUUGUACCCUGUUGCUUCGGCGGGCCCGCCGCUUGUCGGCCGCCGGGGGGGCGCCUCUGCCCCCCGGGCCCGUGCCCGCCGGAGACCCCAACACGAACACUGUCUGAAAGCGUGCAGUCUGAGUUGAUUGAAUGCAAUCAGUUAAAACUUUCAACAAUGGAUCUCUUGGUUCCGGCAUCGAUGAAGAACGCAGCGAAAUGCGAUAACUAAUGUGAAUUGCAGAAUUCAGUGAAUCAUCGAGUCUUUGAACGCACAUUGCGCCCCCUGGUAUUCCGGGGGGCAUGCCUGUCCGAGCGUCAUUGCUGCCCUCAAGCCCGGCUUGUGUGUUGGGUCGCCGUCCCCCUCUCCGGGGGGACGGGCCCGAAAGGCAGCGGCGGCACCGCGUCCGAUCCUCGAGCGUAUGGGGCUUUGUCACAUGCUCUGUAGGAUUGGCCGGCGCCUGCCGACGUUUUCCAACCAUUCUUUCCAGGUUGACCUCGGAUCAGGUAGGGAUACCCGCUGAACUUAAGCAUAUCA
rnacentral:rRNA from 1 species